rnacentral:lncRNA from 1 species
AGUGAUCCCAAUGCUCAGCCACCGUCCGUGAUCUCAAUGCUCAGCCACCGUCCGUGAUCUCAAUGCUCAGCCACCGUCCGUGAUCCCAAUGCUCAGCCACCGUCCGUGAUCUCAAUGCUCAGCCACCGUCCGUGAUUUCAAUGCUCUUCCGGGAUCUCAAUCCUUUGUCGGGAUUUCAAUGCUCUUCCGGGAUUUCAAUCCUCUGUCGGGAUUUCAAUGCUCUACCGGGAUCUCAAUCCUUUGUCGGGAUUUCAAUGCUCUUCCAGGAUUUCAAUCCUCUGUCGGG